AGGUUGUUGAAGCUGAGGAGAAAACUGCUAAAGGUUUGUUGCUGACAGAGGCAAGCAAGGAAAAUCCCUCCAUUGGCUCGGUGAUUGCAAUUGGACCUGGUACUUUGGAUGAGGAAGGUAA